ACUCCUACGGGAGGCAGCAGUGGGGAAUCUUCGGCAAUGGGCGCAAGCCUGACCGAGCCAUGCCGCGUGAGUGAUGAAGGUUUUCGGAUUGUAAAGCUCUUUCGUCGGGGACGAUAAUGACGGUACCCGAAGAAGAAGCCCCGGCUAACUUCGUGCCAGCAGCCGCGGUAAUACGAAGGGGCUAGCGUUGUUCGGAAUUACUGGGCGUAAAGCGCGCGUAGGCGGAUCGUUAAGUCAGGGGUGAAAUCCCGGGGCUCAACCCCGGAACUGCCCUUGAUCACUGGCGGUCUUGAGUGUGAGAGAGGCGAGUGGAAUUCCGAGUGUAGAGGUGAAAUUCGUAGAUAUUCGGAGGAACACCAGUGGCGAAGGCGGCUCGCUGGCUCACAACUGACGCUGAGGCGCGAAAGCGUGGGGAGCAAACAGGAGUUA
rnacentral:rRNA from 1 species